CUCGUAGGUGGUUUGUCGCGUUGUUCGUGAAAACUCACAGCUUAACUGUGGGCGUGCGGGCGAUACGGGCAGACUAGAGUACUGCAGGGGAGACUGGAAUUCCUGGUGUAGCGGUGGAAUGCGCAGAUAUCAGGAGGAACACCGGUGGCGAAGGCGGGUCUCUGGGCAGUAACUGAUGCUGAGGAGCGAAAGCGUGGGGAGCAAACA
rnacentral:rRNA from 1 species